rnacentral:rRNA from 1 species
CGUGUAGGCGGGUCGGAAAGUCGGGCGUGAAAUCCCUAGGCUCAACCUAGGAACUGCACUCGAAACUCCCGGUCUUGAGUGGUGGAGAGGGAAGUGGAAUUCCUGGUGUAGAGGUGAAAUUCGUAGAUAUCAGGAGGAACACCAGUGGCGAAGGCGGCUUCCUGGACACCAACUGACGCUGAGACGCGAAAGCGUGGGGAGCAAACA